ACGCUAGCUACAGGCUUAACACAUGCAAGUCGAGGGGAAACGGCAUUUAGUGCUUGCACCGAAUGGACGUCGACCGGCGCACGGGUGAGUAACGCGUAUCCAACUUUCCCAUAACUAAGGGAUAACCUGCCGAAAGGCAGACUAAUACCUUAUGUAAUCCUUUGAUGGCAUCAGAUAAGGAUAAAAGAUUUAUCGGUUAUGGAUGGGGAUGCGUCUGAUUAGCUUGUUGGCGGGGUAACGGCCCACCAAGGCAACGAUCAGUAGGGGUUCUGAGAGGAAGGUCCCCCACAUUGGAACUGAGACACGGUCCAAACUCCUACGGGAGGCAGCAGUGAGGAAUAUUGGUCAAUGGACGGAAGUCUGAACCAGCCAAGUAGCGUGCAGGAUGACGGCUCUAUGGGUUGUAAACUGCUUUUGUAUGGGGAUAAAGUCAAUCGCGUGUGAUUGUUUGCAGGUACCAUACGAAUAAGGACCGGCUAAUUCCGUGCCAGCAGCCGCGGUAAUACGGAAGGUUCGGGCGUUAUCCGGAUUUAUUGGGUUUAAAGGGAGCGUAGGCCGGAGAUUAAGUGUGUUGUGAAAUGUAGACGCUCAACGUCUGACUUGCAGCGCAUACCGGUUUCCUUGAGUACGCACAACGUUGGCGGAAUUCGUCGUGUAGCGGUGAAAUGCUUAGAUAUGACGAAGAACUCCGAUUGCGAAGGCAGCUGACGGGAGCGCAACUGACGCUGAAGCUCGAAGGUGCGGGUAUCGAACAGGAUUAGAUACCCUGGUAGUCCGCACAGUAAACGAUGGAUGCCCGCUGUUGGUACCUGGUAUCAGCGGCUAAGCGAAAGCAUUAAGCAUCCCACCUGGGGAGUACGCCGGCAACGGUGAAACUCAAAGGAAUUGACGGGGGCCCGCACAAGCGGAGGAACAUGUG
rnacentral:rRNA from 1 species